rnacentral:rRNA from 1 species
AUUGAACGCUGGCGGCAUGCCUUACACAUGCAAGUCGAACGGUAACAGGUCUUCGGAUGCUGACGAGUGGCGAACGGGUGAGUAAUACAUCGGAACGUGCCCGAUCGUGGGGGAUAACGCAGCGAAAGCUGUGCUAAUACCGCAUACGAUCUACGGAUGAAAGCGGGGGAUCGCAAGACCUCGCGCGGACGGAGCGGCCGAUGGCAGAUUAGGUAGUUGGUGGGAUAAAAGCUUACCAAGCCGACGAUCUGUAGCUGGUCUGAGAGGACGACCAGCCACACUGGGACUGAGACACGGCCCAGACUCCUACGGGAGGCAGCAGUGGGGAAUUUUGGACAAUGGGCGAAAGCCUGAUCCAGCAAUGCCGCGUGCAGGAUGAAGGCCUUCGGUUGG